UACGAAGGGGGCUAGCGUUGUUCGGAAUUACUGGGCGUAAAGGGCGCGUAGGCGGUGUGUCAAGUCAUGUGUGAAAUCCCUCGGCUCAACCGGGGAACGACGCAUGAAACUGGCAAGCUAGAGUACCAAAGAGGGUGGCGGAAUUCCCGGUGUAGCGGUGAAAUGCGUAGAUAUCAAGAGGAACACCUGAGGUGAAGACGGGUUGCUGGGCUGACACUGACGCUGAGGCGCGAAAGCCAGGGGAGCAAACGGG
rnacentral:rRNA from 1 species